GAUGAAUGCUGGCGGCGUGCCUAACACAUGCAAGUCGAGCGGCAGCGAGGGGUUCUUGGAGCCUGUCGGCGAGCGGCGAACGGCUGAGUAACGCGUAGUAAUUUCCGCCAAAGUGAAGAAGAACGGCCCGAAAGGGUAGAUAAUGCCGCAUAUGGUCUUCGGAUGUGAGGGUUUAUCCGCCUUGGCAGAAGCCUGCGUUGGAUCAGGUUGUUGGUAGGGUAAUGGCAUACCAAGCCGACGAGCCAUAGCUGGUCUGAGAGGAUGAGCAGCCAGACUGGAACUGAGCCACGGUUCAGACUCGUACGGGAAGCAGCAGUGAGGGAUCUAUCACAGCGGGCGAAAGGCUGAUGGAGCACGGGCGGGUGAAGGAUGAAGGCCUUGGGGUUGUCUUCUUCUAUUAUGAAUGCAGAAUAUGACGGUACCUAAUGAAUAAGCACCGGCUAACUACGUG
rnacentral:rRNA from 1 species